rnacentral:tRNA from 1 species
GGGGAUUUAGCUCAGUGGUAGAGCGCUUGCCUAGCAAGCACAAGGCCCUGGGUUCGGGUUCCCAGCUCCG